GAAAUCAGUGGGUCAGGCAGCAGCUGUGGAGAGACAGUAAGCCAAUAUAGUCUGGAUGACUCUAGUAUAUGUCAGUAUAUCCUUCCUCUUUUAUUGCUUCCUCUGUCCCACUCAAUGUCUCUAAUCUCCUUUGUCCUGUAUGCCACUCCAUAUCUUUGGCCAUCUCUACUUCUGAUCCUCUGAUUCUGCCAUCUCUUUGUGGGUGCCUGUACCUUUGUCUGAAAUUUCCUUCCUCUGUUUGUCCCCCCCCUCCUCCCCCUGCCUUUUCUGUUGCCCCUUUUACAGACAGACCUCUUUGUCAGGUUUUCCUUAACCCCUGGAUGUGGCUGGAGUUCACGUGCCUGAUGUCCCUGUGAAGUACUUGGAGGGUGCUUCGCAUGUGUUGAAGGUUCACGGAUGAAAGCAGUGUCCUGUUCUGGAGCAGAGGCGUGUUGCUGGGUACUGAGGAACAUCACUGCCCUGAUGCCCCAUUCCCCACCCCACCCCCAGCUUCACUGACUGCCUGCUGGGGCGAGUGUGGGGUCAGGGGAACCGUGGGCUGGGCAGGCAGUGCCAAUAUCUGUAGGACCUGAGCAUAAAGGACCCUUGCAGCAUGUGACCUGGUGCAUUCUGAGCACAUCUCCCCCUUUUUAUAAAAACAAAAGGGUCUUCCAUUUCAGAUCGGAGGAGGAGAAAUCUCUUAUCUUGGGUAGGGCACAUCCGCCCCCUCCCAGACUGUGGUGGAGAGGCUGCACUGGGCAUGUGCCCUAUUGAGGGGCUGAAUAGCCACAUGAUUACCUGUCCCCACAACUCCACACCGGCAAUGGUCAGGUCAGCAGUGACCGCAGCGUCAACUGCCCCCUUUUUCCAAUGAAUUGGACCCACUGACCCCCUGAUGUUCACAUUGCCAGGGGUUUCUGCUAAAGCUCAAUGGAUUGACACAGCCCUUUGAGGCUAAAGUCUGACCUCCGACACACUCCCCCGAUUCGUGAGCGAUGGUCACGUCAGCAAACAGACCCUUCCAUGCCAACAGCUUCCCAGACUAAAUUAGUCCCAUUUGCCUGCUCCACAUCCCUCAACCUUUCCCAUCCAGAUGCCUUUUUAAAUGUAACUACUGGCCUCCUUCCCCUGGCAGCCUGGUCCCUGUACUCUCUACCCUCAGUGACUGUCCUCCCAGCCAGCAGAGAUCCAGUGGGUUUGGGGAAAUGGGCUGGGGCCCUGUCUAAUAGCUGAGGAUGACCGGCUCAGUAACUGAUGGGCUACGAAUCCCAGUAAGUGGUUCUCUGGCCCGGUACAGGGCUGGUGUAACGUAGCAGAUACCCAUCGACAUGUCUCUGAUGCCAGCUCUGUGACACUCCACGAGAGAAGGUCUGGUUCUCCAGACUGGUCAGACCAUCUGUGAGUUGGCCGUUUCUCCCAUGGAGUUGCUUGGAGCGCUGACCACGCAGGGGGGUGUGUGUGUGGGGAAGAGGGGAACACAGUAUCAGAUACCAGCCUGGGGGGGAGGGGUGGGGCAGACAGAUGGGCUGAAUGAUCUGUGUGCAGAGCAGUGUCCCGUGAGGGUGGGUCAGGGAGAGAGCACCCUCUGCCAAGAUGAAUGUUGCUCACAGAGCCAAGGGGGUGGGUGCCAUCCACUGCAAAUAUUGACAGGAGCCGGCCCUGGCUCCACUGAGAUGUGCCAACGCUCGGCUGCUGCAUUCCUGUGGGGAGAACUGGGAAAAACCCGAGGGACAGCUUUCUGGAUUUGGUCUACACGCUCAGCAGCGUAUCCCUGCUCAGAGCUGCUCUCUUGUGUGAAGCCACAAAGUUGUACAAACUGGGGAUUUUGGGUGUAGUUUUUUAAGCUCUUGUGUGGGAUGAGGAGGCUGGGGGGAGGGGGGAAUGGGGGUGAGCGAUCUGAGCAGUGUAUUAUAUCCUUAUUGACCUGGCAAGCAGCAGCAGAUGCAUGUAGGCACUCACUGGCUUCAGUCCUUGAAGCAAGGCUAACCUGUUUGUCCAGGGAUAUUGCAUACCUGAGCUGGUGGACCUCCCGCUCAUGAGCUAGGGACACUGCCUCAGUUACAAGAGCCCUUGCACCUAAGCUAAUACUUUUCAGCAGGUGGUGGGGGAGAAAGAGAACAUGUUUCAAAUUCAUAUUGGAAUUUCAAAUUAGCUGAAUAAAUGUGGAAUUGAAAUCUCA